GAGAUCAAAAUUCCUCCACAUUUGGGAUUUGUUUCUUCAUCGAUGACAUCACUCAUAGAAGGCCAUCAGAUUGGUCAGACAGGAUCUGUCCUUGGUGAAGCCGCACUGACUGCCUUGUAUCACCUGUGCCUUAACCUAAUUUCCAGGAAGAUCUGCUUCAUGAUCAUUCCAGAUAUCUUCUGUUCAGCUACUGAAAAUGAAGUAUCUUCAGGUCCAAGUAAAUUCAUGAAGAAACCACCAGAUGUUUGGCCCUCAGUUGGAAUGAAGAGCAGGCAAACGCUAUUCCCAGGCUCAGCAUCCUUCCUACUCUGAAGAUAUGGAUUGCCAAAGUUUGGACUCAGUGGUUUCGAACUCCUGGCCAGGAUGUGAUCUCCACUGCAAGCAAAUAUCGGAGCCCAUUUCUAGCCUCAUAACUCAGCUGCAAAUUGCACAGGCAUAGAUGUAGCUUUCUUCAGGCAAUGUGCUGCUAAAGAAUAAACCUGAAUUAGUGAACUUAAAAAAA